rnacentral:rRNA from 1 species
GACGAACGCUGGCGGCGUGCCUAAUACAUGCAAGUCGAGCGAGCGGAACUAACAGAUUUACUUCGGUAAUGACGUUAGGAAAGCGAGCGGCGAAUGGGUGAGUAACACGUGGGGAACCUGCCCCAUAGUCUGGGAUACCACUUGGAAACAGGUGCUAAUACCGGAUAAGAAAGCAGAUCGCAUGAUCAGCUUUUAAAAGGCGGCGUAAGCUGUCGCUAUGGGAUGGCCCCGCGGUGCAUUAGCUAGUUGGUAAGGUAAAGGCUUACCAAGGCGAUGAUGCAUAGCCGAGUUGAGAGACUGAUCGGCCACAUUGGGACUGAGACACGGCCCAAACUCCUACGGGAGGCAGCAGUAGGGAAUCUUCCACAAUGGACGCAAGUCUGAUGGAGCAACGCCGCGUGAGUGAAGAAGGUUUUCGGAUCGUAAAGCUCUGUUGUUGGUGAAGAAGGAUAGAGGUAGUAACUGGCCUUUAUUUGACGGUAAUCAACCAGAAAGUCACGGCUAACUACGUGCCAGCAGCCGCGGUAAUACGUAGGUGGCAAGCGUUGUCCGGAUUUAUUGGGCGUAAAGCGAGCGCAGGCGGAAGAAUAAGUCUGAUGUGAAAGCCCUCGGCUUAACCGAGGAACUGCAUCGGAAACUGUUUUUCUUGAGUGCAGAAGAGGAGAGUGGAACUCCAUGUGUAGCGGUGGAAUGCGUAGAUAUAUGGAAGAACACCAGUGGCGAAGGCGGCUCUCUGGUCUGCAACUGACGCUGAGGCUCGAAAGCAUGGGUAGCGAACAGGAUUAGAUACCCUGGUAGUCCAUGCCGUAAACGAUGAGUGCUAAGUGUUGGGAGGUUUCCGCCUCUCAGUGCUGCAGCUAACGCAUUAAGCACUCCGCCUGGGGAGUACGACCGCAAGGUUGAAACUCAAAGGAAUUGACGGGGGCCCGCACAAGCGGUGGAGCAUGUGGUUUAAUUCGAAGCAACGCGAAGAACCUUACCAGGUCUUGACAUCUAGUGCCAUUUGUAGAGAUACAAAGUUCCCUUCGGGGACGCUAAGACAGGUGGUGCAUGGCUGUCGUCAGCUCGUGUCGUGAGAUGUUGGGUUAAGUCCCGCAACGAGCGCAACCCUUGUUAUUAGUUGCCAGCAUUAAGUUGGGCACUCUAAUGAGACUGCCGGUGACAAACCGGAGGAAGGUGGGGAUGACGUCAAGUCAUCAUGCCCCUUAUGACCUGGGCUACACACGUGCUACAAUGGGCAGUACAACGAGAAGCGAGCCUGCGAAGGCAAGCGAAUCUCUGAAAGCUGUUUUCAGUUCGGACUGCAGUCUGCAACUCGACUGCACGAAGCUGGAAUCGCUAGUAAUCGCGGAUCAGCACGCCGCGGUGAAUACGUUCCCGGGCCU